rnacentral:rRNA from 1 species
UACAGAGGUCUCAAGCGUUGUUCGGAUUCAUUGGGCGUAAAGGGUGUGUAGGUGGCGCGCUAAGUCGGGUGUGAAAUUUCGGAGCUUAACUCCGAAACUGCAUUCGAUACUGCCGUGCUUGAGGACUGGAGAGGAGACUGGAAUUUACGGUGUAGCGGUGAAAUGCGCAGAUAUCAGGAGGAACACCGGUGGCGAAGGCGGAUCUCUGGGCCAUUACUGACGCUGAGGAGCGAAAGCUAGGGUAGCAAACGGG